UUGGUGGACGGCGCGAGCUCGCACGUCUUGCCCCCUCCCCCCUAUCACGCGCCUGUUAGUCCGCACGCCUUUCAGAGAACAAACUCAUUCGGCGCCGGGACGCCGACUAGAGAGGAGCGUAGGUUUUGCUGCUGCGAGUUGUGCCCACCCGAAACAAUUCUCUUUUUCCACUCUUACGUUUCUAUCUUUUUGCAAGGAAUUGUUGCCAAUGAAGCGUGUGGUGUGCAAGGGUCUCAUUUUAUUUUCGGAGGGCACGACGACGCUUAUCCCGAAGUGGGCCAAAUGGCGCCUUUAUUGCCGUCCCCUUUAAGAAGUCACGGCGAAAAAAAAUUAAAGGGAUUGGCGGAGUUCAGUUGAAAGCGAUUCUCUUUUUCUUAUACUCAGGUGUAUGAAAAACUAGCACUGGAGGAAUAAAUACAUGGCAGAUUGAAAAGCAGAGCUGGAAAUGUGUUGCUGGAAAAGCGCAGCAGAUGUUUACGACACUGGCAGCCUCUUGUGAACGUAUUCAGUAACUGGCUGUCAUUUUGAAAGAAAACAAAUUUAAGAUCUAACA